rnacentral:rRNA from 1 species
CAGUAGCCGCGGUAACACGUAGGGCGCAAGCGUUGUCCGGAAUUAUUGGGCGUAAAGAGCUCGUAGGCGGUCUGUUGCGUCCGCUGUGAAAACUCGGGGCUUAACCCCGAGCCUGCAGUGGAUACGGGCAGACUAGAGGUAGGUAGGGGAGAAUGGAAUUCCCGGUGUAGCGGUGAAAUGCGCAGAUAUCGGGAGGAACACCGGUGGCGAAGGCGGUUCUCUGGGCCUUACCUGACGCUGAGGCACGAAAGCUAGGGGAGCAAACAGGAUUAGAUACCCCCGUAGUCCCUGUCUCUUAUAC